rnacentral:rRNA from 1 species
UACGGAGGAUGCGAGCGUUAUCCGGAUUUAUUGGGUUUAAAGGGUGCGUAGGCGGGAUGCCAAGUCAGCGGUAAAAAUGCGGUGCUCAACGCCGUCGAGCCGUUGAAACUGGCGUUCUUGAGUGGGCGAGAAGUAUGCGGAAUGCGUGGUGUAGCGGUGAAAUGCAUAGAUAUCACGCAGAACUCCGAUUGCGAAGGCAGCAUGCCGGCUUCCUACUGACGCUGAAGCACGAAAGCGUGGGGGUCGAACAGG